UCUUGCUGCGUUCAGUUCAGACAAAAAAGCACGACGUACAUGAUGUAGAAUCUAUUGGUACAGCAGCGUAUCGAAAUUUCCGUUGUUACAGCACGCAGUAACGAUCGACGGCAUCGUAUAUCGAUGUGAUUCUGUGCUGCGUGAUUGCCGAGUUCUCGCACGUAAAUGUGAGGGAUGGAGGCCAGUACAUCACGCAUGGACACAUAUGCUUGCAACCGGUGCCACCAGAGGACCCACUCCUUGUCAUCUCUUUUUCGUCAUUUCUGCACUUGGCAUGGCACGGAGGACAACUGGAAGUGUGACUUGGAAGGCUGUGAAAAAACUUAUAGGCUUUAUAGCUCCUUCCGUAAACAUGUCAGCCGUCACCACAAUCAUCUGUUCCUCCAGACAACCACAGCUGAUGCAUCCUUGGCACCCCGUGCUGACAACCUCGAAGAAACACUACAAACUUAUCCCACCCAGCCUGUUGGGCAAGCAGCUGAACAGGCGUGCUUGGAUGUUGAUAUUUUUAACACCAGUGGUCAGCGUGUUGAUGUUGGCACUCCUGACAGCAGUGUUCAGUGUCCUAUGGUUCUGUCUUCGUUGUUACUAAAGUGGCAAGAAGGCAGGCAGUUACCCGAGAGCACCUUGAAUGAAGUUACGAAUGAUAUGAUAAACUUCAUUUCAGAAUUUAGAGCAGACUUCAAUGCAACCACUAUUACAAAACUUGAGCAGCUCAGAACAAAAACAGGCCGAGAAAACUGGUGGAAAACUUCACAUACGUUUGUUCCUCCACAAACAGUAUACCUUGAAGAUCAAGGUACUUCUGACAGCUAUGAAUACAUUCCAAUUUUGGAAACAUUAAAGGCUGUCUCAAGUGCCCAUGACAUUUUCCAAACAAAUCGCAAACCUUCUUCAACUCUUCUACAGGAUGUGUCUGAUGGCAUGUACUUCAAGGAGCACUGCUUGUUCAAGAAUGCCAGCAAUCAGAAACUUUUUGCUCUACAGCUGUACUUUGAUGAAUUUGAAGUCUGCAAUCCCAUUGGAAGCAAGCGUGGAAAACACAAA